UACGGAGGGGGCUAGCGUUGUUCGGAAUUACUGGCGUAAAGCGCGUGUAGGCGGGAGGGCACGUCCGUCGCUGAAAUCCCCCGGCUCAACCGGGGAACGGGCGCGGAUACGACCUUCCUUGAGGGGCGUAGGGGGACCUGGAACUUCCGGUGGAGCGGUGAAAUGCGCAGAUAUCAGGAGGAACACCGAUGGCGAAGGCAGGUCUCUGGGCAUUAACUGACGCUGAGGAGCGAAAGCAUGGGGAGCGAACAGG
rnacentral:rRNA from 1 species